GGUAGCUGAUGGCGCCGAUGCGCAGCGGCGCUCGAUCCACAAGUAGUAGUCUGAAGCUGGGAGUGCAAUCUACUUCAUCUUGUCGGAGGGGUAGACAAGUGACGCUUGCGCAGCUCAACUUCUAGUACUGUUAUCUAUGGGCUGACCAGUCGCUGGGAAAAGGUUUUGGAUUAUUAGUUUAUUGUACGCGAGCUUUUUAAACUUUGCAUGUUCAUGUUGUUGCCGUGGUAGUGACGGUAAUAAUGCCUAUAGCGUCAUAUGGUGCAGAUGUACUGCUGCGCUUGAAAAGCCUAAAAUUAAAAUUACGCCUCUGUCUGUCUGUCUGUCUGUCUUGCUUCUGGUGUGACGUCAGGGUUCUUCUGCCUUCCUGUUUCGAUGUCUGCAGUAGUAAGCACAUUGCUUACCGAUGGUUUGGUACCAACAAGGUUUUGUGGAUCUGCCGCUGCGCACUACCAGCGCCCUAGGCCCUAGCCGACGGAUCGGUCCGAGUGGUGGUUCAGUCGGAUUCUUCGGUCGUGCUUUCCAGCCUAUGGUCAUCUGGCUCGUGAGAUCAGGAGGUUAUCUAUAGUGAGGGUGAGGCAGUUCGUUCCCUGAAGUUCUCGAUUCUGCAUAUAGGACAUCCACUGAACUCCUUUCAAGUCAGCCGCUAUCCAUGUUCUCAGCUCUGCAUAUAGUAACAACUAACAACACAUGCAGUGAAAUCCUGGUUUUUGAAAAUCCUAGUAUUAUUUCUCUCCCUCCGAUGUGCCACCACAAAGCCAUCAUUGGCGCGUUGCCCUGCCAGAAAGAAGUCCCCUUGCCAUCUCCAAGGUGAAUAGCAGUGGAAGCUUUGAAUAGAAGAGGCAACCCCUACCAUGGCUUGUCCAGCUCUGUGCAACAUUGCCACAACCACCUUAAUUUCAGAGGCUUGCCAUGGCUUGGAUCUGCAGGUUAGGUACACCUAAACCACCGAAUUGUACUGGAGAGCUGGCUCCAUCUGACCAAACGCUUGCCCACACUAACAUGAUCAACACCAAUCCAAAGGAAGGCACGCCUAAGCCUUUCAAUCUGGUUUAUAAUCCGUUUGGGCGUGUCAAUACAUAUGAGCUGGAAGAUCGUCAUUGCCGAGGUCACAAAGAGGACCAGGCAGUAGCCUGGUGGCAAGAGAGCAGUGGCUCUUUCUUGCAGACCGGGGUUUGACUCCCGUCGGGAGCGAAUUUCCGCGAUCUCAUCCGGGUGGGCUCCUUUUAUAAAAAUAUGUCCUGGGUGCUAGUGCCCAUGGAUCUCAUUUUUUUUCCAUCAAGCCAACUUGUUAAUUAGUUUAUCCAACAGCUCCUGAAAAGCACCCCAUUUCAGUUAUCACACAAUGGCAUACCUAAAUAGGUGCUUCAUUCGGUCCCUUUUACUCUGCAUAUUAGAUUUGUGCAAUUCGAACUUUGCAAAGUUUGAGCAAAUUUAUAUUAUUAUUUUUUUGCGGGAAAAACUUUCAAUCUAUUCAUCUUGAAUCAUGGUAGUAUAACGAACACUAGAAAUAAUAAAAAUUACAUCCAGAUCCGUAGACCACCUAGCGACGACUACAAGUACUGAAGCGAGCCGAAGGCGCGCCGCUGUCAUCGCCCCUCCCUCGCCGGAGCCGGGCAAACGUUGUUGUAGUAAACAGUCGGGAAGUCGUCGUGCUAAAGCCCCGUGGAACCAGCGCACUAGAACAGCAACCGCCGCAGAUGAAGAGUGUAGAUCAAAAGAAUCCAACCUAAAGACAUACGUACGAAGACGAGCAACGAACAGAUCCAAGCAAAUCCACCAAAGACAGAUCCACCGGAGACGCACCUCCACACGCCCACCGAUGAUGCUAGACGCAUCACCGGAACGGGGGCUAGGCAGGGAGACCUUUAUUCCAUCUUCAGGAAGCCGCUGCCGUCUCGCCUUCCUGAGCAGGACACAAACCCUAACAAAGCUCAAAAACAGAUCUAAAAACAGAGCCCUCCCACCGGCAAGGGCCGAGAUCCACUCCGCCUCCAUGGCCAUAAGGCCACCGAAGACGGGACGGACCGGCACCGAUGCUGGCGGGUGGCAGAGAAUCUUAGUUUGUUUGGAGGCAGCGGCUGUAGCUAGGCGGAGGCGAGCAAAUUUAUAUUAAAAAAUUAUAAACAUCUACAAUACCAAAUAUAUACUCCCUCCGUUUUUUAUUUACUCCACAUAUUAGCUUCGGUCAAAAUCAAACUUUGUAAAUUUUGACAAAGUUUAUAGAAAAAAAUAUUAACAUAUAAAAUAACGAAUCAAUACCAUUAGAUUCACUAUUGAAUAUACUUUCACGUGAUAUAGAUUUGUUAUUGUAAAUGUUAGUAUUUUUUUUAUAAACUUAGUCAAACUUUAUGAAGUCUGACUUAGUCAAAUCUAAUAUGCGGAGUAAAUAAAAACAGAGGGAGUACUAUAAAAUUAAAUUUUAUGAUGAAUCUAACAAUGUUGAUUUGGCAGUGUGAAUGUUGAUACUUACUUCUAUAAAUUUGAUCAAAGUAGAGAUAUUAAAAAGCAUUAGACCGAGUAUAAGGGAAGCUCGCGGUUUGGCCGCCAAUCCCUGCCUGGAUAUCAGAUAGAUCGAAAUCUUCACAUCCUACUUUUAGCCAAAUUGGUCUUGGCCAGUGGCAGCACAAAAGAAAAAUCCAACAGAGCAGCGACAGUAUUCGUGUCCUAAAGACAAGGCUUGCUGAAAAUUAUGACGUACCUGCAUAAACUCAAGUCUGUUGCUUAAUGACUUGGUUUCCAAGGGGAGAGAGGACACCUUGCACUUGUGCAUGGUUCGUUAACCUUCCCAAAAAGAGCCGACUAUUUGCGAUGCACCAAAUUUGAAGACGGCGGCGUCAAGGCGAGCGCAGCGAGGCGCAGAGGUGAUGGCAAGGCCUCAGACGGGAGCGGCCUAGAGUAGGAACGAUGCCCUGGUGAAGGGGAGUNNNNNNNNNNNNNNNNNNNNNNNNNNNNNNNNNNNNNNNNNNNNNNNNNNNNNNNNNNNNNNNNNNNNNNNNNNNNNNNNNNNNNNNNNNNNNNNNNNNNNNNNNNNNNNNNNNNNNNNNNNNNNNNNNNNNNNNNNNNNNNNNNNNNNNNNNNNNNNNNNNNNNNNNNNNNNNNNNNNNNNNNNNNNNNNNNNNNNNNNNNNNNNNNNNNNNNNNNNNNNNNNNNNNNNNNNNNNNNNNNNNNNNNNNNNNNNNNNNNNNNNNNNNNNNNNNNNNNNNNNNNNNNNNNNNNNNNNNNNNNNNNNNNNNNNNNNNNNNNNNNNNNNNNNNNNNNNNNGCGAGUGCCAAGGGAGGCCAGGGCUACGAGUCGGCUCUAGGCAGCGCCUACUAGCCGCGAGAGGGGGGAGCGGGCGGUUAGGCCAGAGCAUGUCGGAGGCUCGCGCCAUUGGAUGUGAAUCCAACGGUUCAAAUAGAAUUGACCGAAACUGAUUUUUUUUUUCCGGAAAUAGUAACUGGCGAAUGUUCACCAGGGAGCAACUGCCUGCGAACGCCUAAACUGCCACAUGAUCUUGAUCCUACGUUGCAUGUCGAAUGACUUUUUCACACUCAACAUUAAAGGAAUGCCGUGGCAGUUUUGCAAAAUGGCCAGCCAGUUUCUCCAAAUACACUGAAACUGCAAACGACAUCUCUUGUGGGGAGCGUUCGCCAAAUAUGCCAACCUUUUUAUUUUUCCCGGUUUCCUGAUGUAUUGGCGAUUCCAGUAAAACAAACUCCUAACCGCCGGCGACUACGCAGUGGGGGUUGUCCAGCCAAACCCCAGUGCCUGGAGUUGUUGCUAGCCCACUCCUCUUCCAGCCGGGGGUGCUGGAGGCAUUGUCAAACGCCGUUGCUGACAGGAUUGCUACGGCAGGAGGUGGUACAGGGAACAAUGUGCUGCGCUUUAAAUUCAACGCAGCUAAGAAUCCCAUGCGAGGCAACUCAAAAAAGAAAGAUAAAAAGAAAAUGGGGCUAAACAGAGAUGAGGAUGCUCGUAAGCAAGUACUGGGAAAAAAAAGGGGACACUCUUUUGGCGUUCGUCCGACUGGUAGUGAUUUAGAGUUCUCCUUUGAGAAAGAAAUGGAGAGCUAUGAGCGCAUUUUAUAUGGCGAUGUAACCGUCUCAUCCAAGCGGGUGUGCACUGGUAGAGUUGAAGUAGUCCAGAACAAGGAGGGAGGGGUUACACACAUUGCAAAGGAGACUGACGAGAAGGAGGAGGAGUAUGUUCCGCAAGGUGUGGAAUCUGUAGGUGAAGAGAAAGAUGAAAAUGGCACAUCGGCGGCCCCCGAGGAGGGGGACCGCCGCGCAAAAUGAAAAUCCUAGGAUGGAACUGUCGUGGUAUGCUCUCCAACACGGCAGUUCGUGAGCUUCGGGAGCUACAGGAUCGUACAAGGGCAGAUUUAAUUUUCCUUUCUGAAUCUCAUUUGAAUAAUUGUAAAGCCGAUGAGCUACGCUGCACUUUAGGUUUUGACUCUAUGUUAGUAGUGGAAAGUGAUGGUAAGGCCGGUGGCCUAGUUUUGUUUUAUCAUAAGUCGAAUAAAGUUGAGUUGAACUAUGUUUCGCCCCAUUUUAUUGAUAUUGUGUUCAUGUAUGAGGAUGUGGUUCAAUGGCGUUUUACGGGUUUUUAUGGUCACCCGAAUUGGAAUGAACGCCAUCUAUCUUGGAAUGAUAUUCGCAAUCUACAUAGUAAGGGUAACCACCCCUGGGUGGUUUUGGGGGAUUUUAAUGAAAUUUUGUAUCCUUCGGAAAAGGAGGGCGGUAUGGCAAGACCACUUGGUAUGAUGAGAGAGUUCCGUGAAUGCCUAAUGGAUUGUGGUCUCGACGAUUUAGGCUAUACAUGAGACCUUUUCACUUGGAGUAGAGGCGAAAUUCGUGAGCGUCUUGAUCGGGCGGUCUGUAAUUUAGCACGGGCAAAUAAAUUCCCACGAGCGGGAGUGACCAACGAAGAACAUGUUCAUUCUGACCAUCGUCCAAUCGUACUGGAUACGGAUUUUUUGGAUGAAAAAAUAUUCAAACGACCAGAGGGACGUGUUAAACAAUUUGAGGCGAGGUGGUUGAAAGAAGAGACAGUCACUGAAAUUGUUAAGGCAUCUUGGGAGAAAGCAAAGCUUGCGGGGAUUGGACCUUCACUUGCUGAUCGUACGAGAGCAGUGCAUGCCGAUUUGCAUACUUGGGAUCGGGAAACUCUAAAGGGACCGAAAGUGAGAAUUAGGAAAUUGAAAAAAGAAUUGGAGAAACUAAGACGAGGCCCUCUGGAUACGGAAUCUCGAUGUCGCCAGAAGGAAAUUAUUGUGGUAAUUGAGAAUAUUUUGGAUCAAGAGGAAGUUUUCUGGUUACAAAGAGGACGGGCGAACUGGUUGAUGCAUGGGGAUCGUAAUACAGCUUUCUUUCACAACGCUGCCACGACCAGGAAAAAAAGAAAUAAUAUAAGGAAACUGUUAGAUGAUUCAGGAAACUGGGUAGAAGAAAAGGAGUUGAGAGAUCACAUCACUAAAUAUUUUUCAAAGCUUUUCACUUCGGAAGUUCUGCAUCCCAAUCAAGAAGUUUUAUCACUUGUCCGUAGGAGAGUGUCAAAUGAAAUGAACAGUGCUCUACUUGCCCCUUAUACCGCGGAAGAUGUUCGCAAGGCUUUAUUCGAUAUUGGGGACUUGAAAGCUCCAGGACCAGAUGGUCUCCAUGCUAUUUUCUAUAAAAGGUUCUGGCCUAUGCUGGGGGAGGACCUAAUUGAGGAGGUUUUGAAAGCAGUCAACACAUGUACUAUCCCGACCGGUUGGAACGAUACGGCGAUCGUGAUGAUUCCUAAGAUUAAUACACCAGAAAAGGUAACACAAUUUAGACCGAUCAGCUUAUGUAAUGUGGUAUACAAAAUAAUUGCAAAAAUGGUGGCUACCCGUUUGAAGGUUUUUUUACCAGAAAUCAUUAGCCCAACACAGAGUGCAUUCGUACCGGGAAGACUGAUAACGGAUAAUAUUUUAGUGGCCUAUGAAUGUUUUCACACAAUUAAGAACAAAAGAGAAGGUAGAGAGGGCUUGUGUGCCAUAAAACUUGACAUGCACAAAGCAUACGAUAGAGUCGAGUGGCCUUUUUUGAAAGAGAUUAUGUUGAGAUUGGGUUUUCGUUAAGAAUGGGUGAAUUUGAUUAUGCAAUGUGUCUCAACUGUCGAAUACAGAGUAAGGAUCAAUGCAGAGGAAAGUGAGAGCUUCAAGCCUACUAGAGGAUUGAGGCAGGGUGAUCCGCUAUCACCAUACCUCUUCUUGCUAUGCACAGAGGGGUUGAAUGCAUUGCUGACACAUGCCGAGGAAAACGAAAACAUAUCAGGAGUUAAAGUAUGUAGGGACGCCCCGCCAGUCACAAAUCUUCUCUUUGCGGAUGAUUCAUUGAUCUUGAUGAAAGCCAAUCAGCAUAGUGCGGCGGCCCUGAAAUCAGCAUUAGAUUUAUAUUGUGCGGCGUCGGGACAACUGGUAAGUGUGGAAAAAUCCAGCAUUUUUUUAGUCCUAAUACAACGGUUGAGAUCAGGGAACAAAUGUGUACAACGCUGAAUAUAAUGACGGAGGCAAUGAAUGAUAAAUACUUGGGUUUACCAGCCAACGUGGGUGCUGAUAAAUCAGACUGCUUUAAAUUUCUGAUUGAACGAAUUGUUAAGAAAAUUAGUGGUUGGAAGGAAAAAUUACUGUCUGCCGGGGGGAAGGAGAUCCUACUCAAGGCCGUGAUCCAAGCCAUACCUACCUAUGCAAUGUCGGUCUUUAAAAUUCCUAAAAAAAUUAUAAAGGAAUCAUUGACGCGAUAGCGCAUUUCUGGUGGGGUGACGAGGAGAACCAGAGGAGGAUGCACUGGAUGGCCUGGUGGAAAAUGUGUGUACCAAAAAACCAAGGUGGAAUGGGAUUCCGUGAUAUCCACUGUUUCAACCUAGCUUUGCUCGCCAAACAAGCAUGGCGUCUUAUAGAUAAUCCUGAUUCCUUGUGUGCCACUAUUCUGAGGGCCAAGUACUACCCUGAUGGCGAUUUGCUGAAGUCUAAGCCAAAGCGUGGCGCUUCUUUCAUCUGGCAGAGCAUUAUGGCAGGUAUAACUACUCUGAAAUGUGGCUAUAUUUGGCGAGUGGGUAAUGGACAUAACAUCAAUAUCUGGGAAGAUGCCUGGAUCCCAAACUGUGUCACUAGGAAGAUUGUGACCCCUAGGGGGAGCCAUUUGCUAUCAAAAGUGAGUGACCUGAUUGACCCUGCUUCCAACAAUUGGGACGAGGAACUGAUUAGACAAACUAUGUGGCCCAUUGACGCACAACGAAUUCUUUCAAUCCCACUUUCGCAAUAUGAUAUGACAGAUUUCAUUGCCUGGAGUUACACAAAAAAUGGUAUGUUCUCGGUAAGGUCUGCUUACUCGGUGGAAUGGAAUUAUCAGUAUGAGAGUAGACUCAAAUAUUCUAAUGGGAUGGGGCGAAGCAUACCAAAUCCUAUUUGGUGUCAGAUAUGGAAGUUAGCCUGCCCAGCAAAGGUAAAAAUUUUUAUAUGGCGUACAUUACAUGGCACUCUCCCAUGCCGGGUAACACUCGCUAAUAGACACAUGAAGGUCUCGCCCUCUUGCCCGACUUGCUCUCGGGGUUUAGAAGAUACGAAACACAUGCUUUUCCUCUGUAGUAAAGCAAAGGAGGUUUGGAAGAGACUAGGGAUGGAUGUGAUAAUUGAUAAAGCUUGUGAGGUUGAUCUUGCCGGGGAGGCAAUAUUGGAAUACCUUUUACUUCUUCCAGACCAAGACUUGAGUAUUAUGGGGUACCAAAAUGUACGUGAAAUGAUAGCUAUUUCAGCUUGGUACCUAUGGUGGGAAAGACGAAAGUUAGUGCAUAAGGAAUUAACUCAGAAUGCAAAUCAGAUAGCAAUGGGGAUCAUAGCUCUCACAUCCAACUUUGUAAAUGCAUCAUCUCCAAAGGCGACGAUGAAAAAGGGGGGUUGGUACUGUCCUCCUAGGGGUUUUGUGAAACUUAAUGUUGACGCCUCUUUUGAUCAUGAUAUGUUGAAGGGUACGAUGGGGGCAGUUUUAAGAGACCACAAAGGUAGGUUCAUUGCAGGAGGAAAUGAAAAGAUUGACUAUUGUGCGGAUGUUUUGAUGGCUGAAGCUUUAGCUCUCAAGUUUGGCCUAACAAUGGCGCAAAGGGCGGGGUGUAACCGCCUAAUCAUCAACUCAGACAACAUGGAGGUGGUUGAGACCAUGCAGGAAGGAGGACAAUCAACGGGGGCGGCGGCAGCAGUCUUCGAGGAUUGUUACCACUACGCCUGUGAUUUUGUCACGACUAGAUUCGAACAUUGUAAUAGAGAGGCAAAUAAAAUAGCUCAUGAACUUGCUAGAUUAGCUAGAUUUUCUUCGACUUCCGACUGGUUUGAGGAACCUCCAAAUGAAAUUGUAAUGAUCCUCACAAACGAUGUACUGGUUAUUUCAAAUGAAUAAAGCUUCCUUUUAAAUAAAUAAAAAACUCCUAACCGCCGGCUCAUGAAAGAGUUGGAUCGAACCCUACCUCCACCACAACGCAUCGAUUGAUUCUUCAGAUAGGGUUACGCAGCUGAUGCCAUGUCGGCGCCUCUUCUGGACAGAGACCCGUGCCCGGACCGCAUCAUCGAGGAUGCCGGCGGUACUUUCGCCAUGGGCGCCGUGGGAGGUUCUGUCGUCCACCUCCUCAAGGGCCUCCGCAACUCGCCCAAUGGCGCGCGGAUCAGCGGCGGCAUGCAGGCCGUGCGAUCGAACGCCCGCGGAUCGGCGGGAGCUUUGCCGUGUGGGGCACCGUCUUCUCCAUCACCAGCUGCGCCGCGGUCUUCGUGCGCCAGAAGGAGGACCCCUGGAACUCCGUCGUCGCCGGCGCCGCCACGCACGGGUUUCUCCACCUGCGCAUGGGCCUCAGAGUUGCAGGCCGCUGGGCGGUCUAUGGCGGCUGUCUUCUCGCGCUCAUCGAGGGCGACGCCCUCAUGGUAAACCGUCUCUUCGACGCAAAGAAGAACCCUCCGCCGCGGCCGCGCCCUGCCCAUGACCCCAACUUGGCCACCGCGGCGACCCCAGACCUGCCCCAGCCAGCCGUGGCCCCUGCGGAGGUCGCGAGAUCGAGCGGUGGGGGUAGCUGGUUUGGCGGCCUCUUCGUCAAGGAGGAGGAGGAGAAGAAGCCCAGUGGCAGUGAGGGCAAGUCGGAGAUAUUAGAGAGCUUCGAGACGCCCAGCCCUCCGGUGCCAUCAUCGGAGCACAAGUGAAAAGAAGGUGCGCGCGGUGUUAAUUGGACUGCUCUCUGGUCUGCAUCUUUCACUCGGUUUCAGGAAUAUGUGCUGUCUUUCAGCUUGACCCGUUCCUUGUUUCUUCUACUUUCACGGGAGGAGGUGACAAUUAUAGAUUGAUUUGAUGGAUUAUGGAUGGGCUUAGGCCUAUAUAAGACAAUAAUCCCUAGUUAACCUCUAAGGCCCAUGCAUGUGUACGGUAAGUGAUGGGAAGUAUGGGAAGUUUAGUCCCAUACUGCUACAGUAAGAAGAGUGAGACCUCUUUAUAAGGGCUGCUCUACCACUUGCUAUUGGGAGCUUGGGAAUAGGAGCUGUACAUGCGCGUUCCUCCUCCUCCGCCGCCCGCCUCGCCUCGCCUCGUCACGACGCGCGCGCGCCGCGGGUUGCCGGAAUGAGCCGAGACGUUGGACCGUGGGCUGUUCGCUGACUCGGUCGUGGGCCUGGCCCAGGCCCAUCUACCUGAAGGCCUAUAUAAGAAGGCACUAGGGAGAACGGCAAUAAGGUUUUUGGGGAGCGUCUCGACGCGACUGCUCCCGAUCCGUCCCCGUCUCCGUCCGCCUCUGCUUCCACUACUUCCCAAAAGGUUCUUGGCGGCGGCCAAUACGGUAUGCUCACGACGCCGACGCCAAGAAGAAGGCCUCGGCCAAUGCCGAGGCUGCCGCUACCGCCGCCGCGUUGGCCUAGCCAACCGGAGGGUCACAUGCUUAGGUAUCGGUAUGAGAUGCAUACCGUAUUUGCCAUGCUUACUGGCUACUCGUGGAUUAGAUUAGUCGGAAAAGUGCUAAUAUUUCCAACAAUCCAAAAACCUUAUUUUAGGCACUUUUCGACUCAUGGCUUUGCCGCUACUCUGAAACCGGAAAAGUUUACUGGAACGCAUUUUAAGCGUUGGCAGACGAUGACUACCUUGUGGCUCACAGUAAUGAACGUGUUCUAGGUUGGUGGUGUGUCUCCCACGGUAACGAUUGCUCCUGAACAGGAGAAUGCAUUUAGGGAGGCAACCACCAUCUUUGUGGGAGCCGUUCUUACUGUGAUCGGAGACAAGCUAGUCGACGCAUAUCUCCAUAUGCGUGUUGCCAAGAAUUUGUGGGAUGCGCUCGAAGCUAAGUUCGGCGCAACCGAUGCUGGAAGCGAGUUGUAUGCUAUGGAGCAGUUCCAUGAUUACAAAAUGGUUGAUAAUCGUUCUGUAUUGGACCAGGCCCAUGAGAUACAAUGCAUCGCUAAGGAGUUGGAGCUCCUGAAGUGUGAGUUAUCUGACAAGUUUGUCGCGGGUUGCAUUAUUGCAAAACUCCUUCCUGGAUGGAGGAACUUUGCUACUUCUCUCAAGCACUUGAGACGUGAAUUCUCUAUUGAGGAUGUCAUCGGUCAUCUAAGUGUUGAGCAGAACUCGAGAGCAAAGGACUCACACGUGAAAGGGGCAGAGGGUUCUUCUAGCGCCAAUGUGGUGCAGAAGAACUUCCACAAGUUCAAGGGAAAGAACUCUGUCCAGCAAAAUACUACCUUUAAGAAGAAGGGUAAGAAGAAAGAUAAGAAGAGAGAUGGCUCCUUCACUUGUGGUUCAGAGGAACAUUGGGCAAACAAGUGCCCAAACAAGUAUAAGAAGCCAGGACAGGACGCAAAAUUUGUCAAUGUCACUUUGAGCAACCAUGAUGGGGCAUCUGGGUAUGGUAAUCUGUUUACCGUACUUUCAGUUUGUCAGUCCACCGAUUGGUGGGUUGACACUGGGGCCUAUAUUCAUGUGUGUGCUGAUGUGUCCUUGUUUUCUUCUUACCAGAUCACAGGAGAUUGUUCCGUCCUGAUGGGGAACUGCUCGCAUGCUUCUGUUCAUAGUGUUGGCACGGUAGAUCUGAAGUUUACUUCGGGAAAGAUCGUGCAACUGAAGAACGUGCAGCAUGUCCCCGCCAUCAAGAAGAAUCUCGUUAGUGGAUCCCUUCUAUGUAAAGAAGGGUUUAAUUUAGUAUUUGAGUCCAACAAAGUAGUCAUAUCUCGGUAUGGACUAUUCGUUGGAAAAGGAUAUGAUUGUGGUGAUUUGUUCCGCCUUUCCCUGGAGGAUUUCUGUUAUAAAGUUGUGAACCAAAUUCAUUCUAAUGUGAACGAAUGUGAGGUUUGGCAUUCACGUCUUUGUCACAUAAAUUCGGUUGUAUGACGCGGCUAGCUAAGAUGAAUCUAAUCCCGAGUUUCACUUUAGCCAAAGGCUCUAAGUGCCAUGCGUGUGUGCAAGCAAUGCAACCUCGUAAGCCUCACAAGCCUGCGAAGGAGAGACACCUGGCACCAUUAGAGCUUAUACAUUCAGAUCUAUGUGAGAUGAAUGGUGUGUUGAUUAAAGGUGGAAAGAAAUACUUCAUGACUCUAAUUGAUGAUUCCACUAGAUUCUGUUAUGUGUAUUUGUUAAAUACAAAGGAUGAGGCUCUACACUACUUUAAAAUCUAUAAGGCUGAAGUUGAGAACCAACUUGAGAAUAAAACGAGUCCGGUCUGAUUGUGGUGGAGAGUACUUUUCUAGUGAGUUUGAUUUAUUCUGUGCGGAACAUGGUAUUAUUCAUGAGAGGACGCCUCCCUAUUCACCCCAGUCAAACGGGGUUGCCGAACGGAAAAACCGUACUCUAACAGAUUUGGCUAAUGCCAUGUUAGAUACAUCGGGUUUAUCCAAGGCAUGGUGGGGGGAGGCUGUAUUGACAUCAUGUCAUGUCCUGAAUAAAGUUUCCGCGAAGGAUAAUGAGACUACUCCCUAUGAGCAAUGGGAAAAGAAAAGAACUACACUCUCUUACUUGCGCACUUGGGGUUGUUUGGCGAAAGUCAAUGUGCCGAUCCCAAAAAAGCGUAAGCUUGGACCAAAGACCGUGGACUGCGUUAAUUUGGGUUACGCUAAGAAUAGCGUUGGCUAUAGAUUUCUAAUAGUGAAAUCUGAGGUACCUGACCAGAAGGUCGGUACAAUCAUAGAGUCUAAGGAUGCUACAUUCUUUGAGGAUAUUUUUCCCAUGAGAGAUAUGCAAAGCACUUCUAGACUGGAAUCUGAUGAGACUCCUGAACCUGCCAUUCCGAUGGAAUACUAUGAACACAAAAGUGAUGAAAGUUCCACGGAGGAUGACGAGGAAGCUCCUGUUAGGAGCAAGAGACAAAGGACUGCAAAGUGUUUUGGUGAUGAUUUCCUCGUGUACCUCGUGGAUGAUGACACUCCCAGUUCCAUUUCAGAAGCUUAUGCAUCUCCAGAUGCUGACUACUGGAAGGAUGCUGUCCGUAGCGAGAUGGAUUCCAUCAUGGCUAACGGGACAUGGGAGAUCACUGAUUGUCCUUAUGGUUGCCAACCAUUGGGAUGUAAGUGGGUGUUCAUGAGGAAGCUAAGGCACGAUGGUACUAUUGAGAAGUACAAGGCUAGGCUUGUGGCCAAGGGUUAUACCCAAAAGGAAGAAGAGGAUUUCUUCGACACUUACUCACCUGUGGCUAGGCUGACAACCAUUCGAGUGUUACUCGCUUUGGCUGCCUCGCAUGGUCUUCUCGUUCAUCAGAUGAACGUUAAGACGGCUUUCCUUAAUGGAGAGCUAGACGAGGAAAUUUACAUGCAACAGCCGGAUGGCUUUGUUGUAAAUGGUCAGGAAAGAAAGGUGUGUAAGCUAGUGAAAUCUUUGUAUGGCCUGAAACAAGCGCCUAAGCAAUGGCAUGAGAAGUUUAAUACAACUUUGGCAUCUGCUGGCUUUGUUGUUAAUGAAGCUGACAAAUGUGUAUACUAUCGCUAUGGUGGGGGCGAAGGAGUUAUACUGUGUCUGUAUGUCGAUGACAUACUGAUAUUUGGGACCCACCUCAAGGUCAUUGAGGAGGUCAAGGCUUUUCUAUCUCAUAACUUUGAGAUGAAAGAUCUGGGUGUGGCUGAUAUUAUCUUGAACAUCAAGCUACUGAGAAAUACUGAGGGUGGAAUUAGACUUUUGCAAUCCCACUAUGUUGAGAAGAUUUUGAGCCAUUUUGGAUAUUCGGACUGCAAACCUUCUGCAACACCAUAUGAUCCUAGCGUGCGGAUUCGAAAGUUCGAAGGCACGGCUGUAGAUCAAUUGAGAUAUUCUCAAGUGGUUGGUUCACUCAUGUACCUAGCUUGUGCUACUCGCCCUGACAUCUCAUUUGCUGUGUGCAAACUGAGCCGGGUUGUUUCCAAUCCGGGAGAUGUGCAUUGGCAUGCUGUUGAGCGAGUGAUGCGCUAUUUGCAAGGUACUGUGAACUACGAGAUUCACUAUUCUGGGUACCCGACGGUACUCGAGGGGUAUAGUGAUUCUAACUGGAUAUCUGAUGCUGAUGAGAUGAAAGCCACAAGUGGAUAUGUCUUCACACUUGGUGGUGGUGCUGUUUCCUGGAAGUCUUGCAAGCAGACGAUCUUAACCAGAUCGACUAUGGAAGCAGAACUCAUAGCAUUAGACACAUCAUGCGUCGAAGCAGAAUGGCUUCGAGAGCUUUUGAUGGAUUUGCCGGUAGUUGAUAAACCUGUCCCGACUGUCCUUAUGAACUGUGACAAUCAAACAGUGAUUGCCAAGGCUAAGAGUUCAAAGGACAACUUGAAAUCUACAAAGCACAUAAGAAGAAGAUUAAAAUAUGUCAGAAAAUCAAGAAACACCGGAGUAAUAGCGUUGGAUUAUAUCCAGACGACUAAGAAUCUGGCAGACCCUUUUACAAAAGGGCUAUCACGGGUUGUGAUAGAAAAUGCAUCAAGGGAGAUGGGUAUGAGACCCACGUAAGUUGCCAUGGGGGUAACCCAACCUAUGUGAUCGGAGUUCCCGUGAAUUAGGACCUGGGAAAACAAUCCAGCGGUCAACUGAGGAGAGUAUCCUUAAUUAUCCCACUCCGUUGGAGAUGCAAUAAUACUCUUAAUUCUGUAAGGCAGGCUGACUUUUGUCUUAAUGUGUUCCAAAGCUUAUGUAAGCAAGAUGCUAACCUACAGAGCAUUCUUUAAAGGAACGCACCUAUGUGAGCCCGACUGCUGGUCACAGUCUAUGAGAUUGGGUGAUCUCUAGGAAGCUCAUGAGAAGGUACGGAGUAUGACUAAUAAGCUCCACCCGUGGGGUUUAGUCUUCGGCAGCCACGUAUCAGCUGACAAUAGGCGAAACUUCUACACGCCAAACUGACAAUACAAGGCAUAGUCCAUUGUUCAGUUGUGAAGAAGUCUAAUCCUAUUGCUCUAGGUGGAAGUUCAAUUUAACAGUCUCCACUGAAAAUUCUGGUAUAUCAAACAUUGUUUGGAACAGUUGACAAACUUAUGUGCCUCGAGAUCUGGUGGGGGAUUGAUGGAUUAUGGAUGGGCUUAGGCCCAUAUAAGACAAUAAUCCCUAGUUAAUCUCUAAGGCCCAUGCAUGUGUACGGCAAGUGGUGGGAAGUAUUGGAAGUUUAGUCCCAUACUGCUACAGUAAGAAGAGUGAGACCUCUUUAUAAGGGCUGCUCUACCACUUGCUAUUGGGAGCUUGGGAAUAGGAGCUGUACACGCGCGCUCCUCCUCCUCCGCCGCCCGCCUCGCCUCGCCUCGUCAUGACGCGCGCGCCGCGGGUUGCGAGAAUGAGCCGAGCCGAAGCUUAUUUUUGCCGCUCAGGAAUGGUUAAUUAAUUGUUAAUUAAUUAACGAGUCGCUUACGGAAGCGCCACUGUCCGAGACGUUGGACCGUGGGCUGUUCGCUGACUCGGUCGUGGGCCUGGCCCAGGCCCAUCUACCUGACGGCCUAUAUAAGAAGGCACUGGCCAGUGGAGUGAACCCUAACUCAGUUCACUCACUCCCUCUCGUACAACCCUAGCCGUCAUCUACUGUUCCUCUCCUUGUGCUGCUUCCGGCGAUCCCAUCCCGACGACCGCGUGCACGGUUGGUCGGGAGAGCAGGUGCCUCCGGAACCCUGUCGUUCGAGAUCCUGCCCGGGAGAACGGCAAUAAGGUUUUUGGGGAGCGUCUCGACGCGACUGCUCUCGAUCCGUCCCCGUCUCCGUUCGCCUCUGCUUCCACUACUUCCCCUGCAUCGACCCCAUGGCUGACGACGCCGCCGCCAAGAAGAAGGCCUCGGCCGAUCCCGAGGCUGCCCCUGCCGCCGCCGCGUUGGCCUGGCCAACCGGAGUGUAUGACUCGUUCAUCCCUUAUUUGCUCGUUCAUGUGCUAGCCGUAUAUAUGCUGUUCAUGGAUGUUUCGGUUCUACGUACUGUACGUGCUCACAUGCUUAGGUAUUGGCAUGAGAUGCAUACCGUAUUUGCCAUGCUUACUGUUUACUCAUGGAUUAGAUUAGUCAGAAAAGUGCUAAUAUUUCCAACAUGAUUUUGUUGCACGGCGAGCAGGUUCGUGCGGUUCUUGGUCUUGCACAGAUUUAGCUUGGUUUUUCCAUUCUUGCACUCUCGAUGAUACCUAGUUAAGUUUGUGACAGUUUGUGACUACUUUAGAAUUCAACAAUACACACCGAUAUGCCUCCUCGAUCCCAGCUUCACAAUUUUCACUAAAGUUUCUACUAAUAGGCUUAGGCCUUUUUUGAUUUAGAGGAAUCUUGUAGGAAUUUCAUAGGAUAGGAUUUUUAUAGAAAAAAGUCCUUUAUAAUCCUUUGGUUUGUAGUAAUGAAAUCCUAUUCCUAUGGAGGAGUUCUUCCUAUCCUCCAUAUUUCAUAGGAAAAUAAACAUUAGUCUAAACUCAAUGAAAAAAAUCCUAUGAUGUGAAUCAAAGAGCAUCUCCUUUCCUAUUCCUACUCAUAGGAUUUGAGAUACAUGUCAUCUCAUUUCCUACAACUUUUCUAUUCCUACGUUUUUCCUACCCUAUAAACCAAAGGAGGCCUUAACGCGGUAGCCGAUUAUGUUGACUUUCAUAUAAGAAAGCAAUAUACUCGAUUGAGUAGUUAUCCUAGAACCGUUCGUAACAUGCACUAGAAGAACGUGAGUGGGGUAGUAUUCAAGACCGACUUUCAAAAAACUUGUGAUAAAGUCGUUGUAACAGCAGACCCUCAGGAUGAAAGGUUUCUUGAGUAAUGACGCGAAUGGAUCCAAAAUUUUGUCACUGGUGCAUGUCAUAGGUCAUUACUUUCAAAAAAAAAA
rnacentral:lncRNA from 1 species